GUCAGAAUCCCGCCCAGGCGGAACGAUACGGCAGCGCCGCGGGAGCCUCGGUUGGCCUCGGAUAGCCGGUCCCCGCCGUCCCCGCCGGCGGGCCGCCGCGCGCGCCCGCGUGCGGCGUGUCCCGUCGCGCGUCGGGACCGGGGUCCGGUGCGGAGAGCCCUUCGUCCUGGGAAACGGGGCGCGGCCGGAAAGCGCGGCCGCCCCCUCGCCCGUCACGCACCGCACGUUCGUGGGGAACCUGGUGCUAAACCAUUCGUAGACGACCUGCUUCUGGGUCGGGGUUUCGUACGUAGCAGAGCAGCUCCCUCGCUGCGAUCUAUUGAAAGUCAGCCCUCGACACAAGGGUUUGUCGCUCCCGGCGCCGACGCCGCCACCGUGGCGGCGGCGGUGGUCGGGGGGGGGGCCGCGGCCGGCUCGCUCGGCUUCCGUGCGUCCGUCUCGCUCUUCCUCUCUCUUCCCGUCCCAUCCCUCCGCGCCGCGGGUCGCGCCCCCCUGCCCGUCCCCGGCGAAGGGGAGCGGGGUUGGCGGUUCUCGCACGCCGCGUCCCGCGGACGCCCACGGCGCGCCGGGCGGUCGCGGGGCAGGUUGCGCGUCCCGCUGCGGCCUGUCGGGGCGAGAGGGAAAGAAGGGGAAAGCGGGCGCGCCCCUCCAGGCGCCGCCCCCCGCGCCUCCGCUACGCGCCUCGCCUCCUCCUCCGCUUCACCCCGCCGGCGGGCCUUCCCAGGGCCCGCUGGGCUGGGACGGGGCGAAGGGGAGUGGUGGGGGGAGGUCGCAUCCCGGAGGCGUGGAGGGGGAACGUUGGAGGGCCGGCCCUGCGGGAGCCUCUUCCCAGGGGGGAAACCGCGGGGCCGGGGGGCGUCGUGGGGCCCUGGGUGGCCUCCGAACACGUCCGCGAGCGGGUGCUCCGGGCCGCCACCGGCGUGGGGUGGUGGUCUGUGGGUGCGUGCUCCAGCGUGGCCUCGCGUGCCUCACUUCCUAAGGGCCCGCGGGGUCGACCAGCUGUCCCGGCCGACUCGGGCCCGGGUCCGA
rnacentral:lncRNA from 1 species